AUGGCCCUUGCCAAGGAGGAGAGUCAGUCACAAACAUCCUCACAGAAGUUACAGGCUGACGAUGGUUCAGAGCAGAUAAUGAAGCCAUGCAUCACUUCAAGAGAGGUGCAAUGCAAGCUAGUCAAGAGAAAACAACAGUUGAAUCAAGCUGUGAAAAGAGCCCUGCAGCAGAGGCAGCCCCUGCACUAUGAUGGGCCCCGUCUGGCCCUUCUCCACCCCGUAUGUGAAGAGCCUAGCACUCGGGAAUGGCCGUAUGUGUGGCGGCUUUGGGCUCAGUUGUUGAAGGCUCACUGGUAUGAAUCAGUCUCAGCGAUUCUGGUGACUGGUUAAUCUGUAAUUCCCUUAAUACUUUGGGUUUUAGACUUAAAGGGAUAUUUCAAACAGGAACAUUUUGUCAUCAUUUAGUCACUUUCUGAACCUGUAUGGCUUUCUUUCUUCUGUGGAAAAACAAACAAAGACAUUUUGAAGAACACUGGAGUUCAAACAUUGGAGACUGAACAUAAAAAAAAUUCAAAUAUUUAAAAAAAGAGUUUUGCAUAAAGUUUUGAAAUGAGAUGAAUAUAUGAAUUAUGGAUUAUAUUUCUUUGAAGGUUAGAGAUGGUUUUGGCAUUAUAUUUGAUUGAGUCAAUUCCUUGCUUUAAUGCUGUGGGAGUUGUUUUGUUCAUAGCAGCUGUUGCUGCUCAGAGGUCCUCAGCAGCUGGGGAAACAGCUGAGAAAGUGAGCGAGAAAAGAGAACAGUAUAAAAACACCACUGGCAGCUGAUCCCAGAUUUUUAUCACAGACGUUUACACUCCCUUGCUAAUAGUGAAACACAUGUUUUCAGCCCCUAGAGGAGACAGCCUGAGAUUUUUUGGCAUUGCAACAAUGGAACAAUCAGACGUCAUUUUCUGACAUUUAUUGUCCUUGUGCAAAAAGAAAACAUACAUGAAAUAAAGCCUUUAAUUUCUGUAACUGACCAUUCAGUCCAGUCUACGGUUAUGUAGACUGCGAAGAAGGCAUUCGCUCAGCUGUGUGGUGAUUUAUAAUCUUCACUUGACUUACAGCUUAUCUUUGUUGACGAUUUGAAGUAACACUCAGUUAUUAUCAUCACAUUAGAUCUUAAUCAUUUUAGACGCUUUAUUGAUUUUAACACGGAUGAAAAUGAGGCUGUGAGGGAUAGACUUACAGUCUUGACAAUGGCACGCAGUGUAUAAAAGUCCUAGAUCCAUUUCAUUUUUGCCAGCUCACAGCUUUUAAAACUGUUUAAUGGAGUUUUUGUCUACUGACAGCUUUAACUGUAAAUCAAGGGGAAAAAAAUAAAAAAUACAUAAAUGUACAAAAGUCAUGUACUGUAUUUCAGCCUACAUUUCAGUUUAGUGUACAACCAGAACACAUGGUGUGGCGUUUUGUGUCCCAAAACACAUUGGAAAUGUCAGACUUGACCUGACAUUUCCAGUGUGACACAUGAACCAGAAGUGAUGUUACCCACAAUAACUUGUCCUUCUUAAAAGAAUAGUUCACCCCAAAAUUUACAUUUGCUGAAAAUGAACUCAACCUCUGGCCAACAAAGAUGUAGUUGAGUUUGUUUCUUCAUUGCAACAGAUUUAAAGAAGUUAACUCAUCAUCACUUGCUCAGCAGUGGAUCCUCUGCAGUGAAUGGGUGCCGUCAGAAUGACAGUCCAAAGUAAUUCACACAACUCGUCCUUAAAUUAAUGUCUUGUGAAGCAAAAAGCUGCAUGUUUGUAAGAAACAAAUCCAUCAUGGCCUGAUGGUGAGUACAUUUUUGUUUUUGGGUGAACCAUUCCUUUAACUGUUUACUCAUUAUUUGAUUCGACUGCCUAGAUUUAGACAUUUUUACACAAAAUUAGACUAGAUGAUGUUGACUGCACUACACAAGCAACUUUGAAAUAUACAUCAUAGCAUAAUGCAUACCGUUUCACAUGCUUUUUUUAAAAACAAUAAGUAUUUGAA
ensembl:lncRNA